rnacentral:lncRNA from 1 species
UAGACAAGAGAAUCAAACCCCUGAAGCACGGCCUGGAUGGGCAGGACCUCCCGGGAACUGGCUUUACAGGAAGCCUUUUAAAAAAUAGUUGGAAAUUGAAAUCACCCCAAGGAACUACUAAACAGCCGAGCCUCGCAGCUUCUUCUGGAUUGAGCCGUAGCUGAUUCCUGUGAACUGGAUUGCUAACAUCCUGACAACACAGAUUGGAUUUGCUCCAAAGAACUAUUUCUAAACAGAGGCACUGGCUUGCUUGCUGUCAGAGAGAAUUAAAUUCUACUACUGAGCUACUUCGGAGAGUGUGUUCGGAAAGGCUGGGCUGUAGCUCAGUGGCAGCCUGCUUGCCCAGCAUGCACCAGGCUCCAGGUUCAAACCCAUGCUCCAUCCCAACACUGGGACGUAAAGGGAGGAGGAUCUCCCAGGAGUUCAAGGCUCAUCUUGAGCUACAAGGUGGCCAAGCAGUCUGCAUAGGAAGGUAGAUGCCAGGAAACAGAUGCUACCAAGCCUACAGUCAAGACCUUGUCUGUGUCCCCCUCUCAGAGGGUUGCCUGCCACCCACAGAGAAGCAGCAACUUGGUUCCUUCUCACGGAGCUCUCCUGCACUUGCUCACCUGUUCUCAAACUCUGAUUCUGUGGCUGUGUGGUACAGCUGAGGCAGGGGCAGUGCAGAGCGGCUAAGAGGAGGGGCGACUGAUCUUAGAGUCAGUGGAGUUGGAAUUCACAUUGUCUUUGUGGAGAUGGAAGUGUCAGGAGUUGCACAGGGGCAACAAGUGCAAAUGGGCUCACUGAUUGCCCCCUUGCCCCAUAUCCUUUAGUGGUGCCUGGGCCACAGCCUGUGGCCAUGCAGUUUGUAACAGUCAUGAAAAUCUAUAGAUAAAUCCAUUGUGUCACUUAGCCUGUGGCUGCAGAUGCCCAGAGGCCCUCUUCCCAAGCCUCACAAGGUGCCUAUGGCUAGAAGUGGCUGCAAGUGUAAUCAAAGGGUCCUGCCACUGAGCCCUGUGCAGUGUGUGCUGGAAACCUGGUUGCUAUGAUGAGGUGGGGCUCUCGGGAAGGAAUAAGUAAUGGGGUUGGGGAAGGCUCAACUAUUAUGAGCUGAUGUUGAUAUUAUAGAAGGCAGAGCAGGUUAUUUGCCAUGGGAACAGCUUAGUUAUCCCAGGAGUAAGCUGCUGAUAGAAGAAAGGUGGGGGUGGGGGUGGGGGUGGGGGUGGAGUGUUUCUUCUUGCUCAGUUGUUCUCUUGACAUGUGAUGCCUUUGCCAUAUUGUAAGGCAGCAUGAAGACCCUCAUAA